rnacentral:rRNA from 1 species
UCUAGUUUGAUCCUGGCUCAGGUAGAGAAAUGCCGCCAGCACGACGACCAGCACGAACAAAAGUAGUAACAAGGUAACAGUGGAGCUUGAUCAUGUAUCAGGAAGUCGUAACAAGGUAGCCGUAAGUCGUAACAAGGUAACAGAAAGUGGAGACAAGGUAGCAAGAA